AUUGAACGCUGGCGGCAUGCUUUACACAUGCAAGUCGAGCGGCAGCGCGGGACUCAGGCAACUGAGCCCUGGCGGCGAGCGGCGAACGGGUGAGUAAUGCAUCGGAACGUGUCCCGUAGUGGGGGAUAACGCCGCGAAAGCGGCGCUAAUACCGCAUAUGCUCUACGGAGGAAAGUGGGGGACCUGCAAGGGCCUCACGCUAUGGGAGCGGCCGAGUCCGAUUAGCUAGUUGGUGGGGUAAUGGCCUACCAAGGCGACGAUCGGUAGCUGGUCUGAGAGGAUGAUCAGCCACACUGGGACUGAGACACGGCCCAGACUCCUACGGGAGGCAGCAGUGGGAAUUUUGGACAAUGGGGCAACCCUGAUCCAGCCAUGCCGCGUGCGGG
rnacentral:rRNA from 1 species